UAGGAUCCCUCCAAAUACCACCCCCCCCUCCCCUCCUCUCAGGUUGUACCAAAAAAACUGCUUCCACAGGGAGGGGGUGGAUAUUUUCUGGAAUAGCCCAAUAUUACAAGAUAUUGUACAUUGUUUAAACUGUCACAGAUGUGAACAAUUUAAUAAUUACAUGGUCAUUAUGCACAGUGGAAUCUAUGAAAAUUGAAAAUUAUAGUACAAUAACACAGGAAAAGUGGUGUUUUAAAUUGUCACUUUUUGUUGUAAUUAUAGCAACUAAAAUAGACCUCCUGAAAAUUUCUUAAAAAUUCUACAUGCAAAUUACAAUAAAAACUACUUUUUACAUUCUCACUACUGCCAUUACUGGUAGACCGCAUGCUGGUAGGCUACUAAAUAAAUGAGAAAUUCUUUUUUUAUAUUUUUCAGGAUAACCUCCAGCAGUAAGAAAUAUAAGGGCUCACUGCAGUUUUGAGUGCUCAACAAGUAUUGACCCCAUACUAUGCUCAGCAAGUAGGGCCCUUGUAUUUCUGUGAAUCCUCAUGCAGUACAGUACUGCUGUUGGAAGAGGAGCAAACAGUGUGGUAUCUAUGGUCCACCAUCACUUCAAGCAUCAUGGUUAUGGAAAAAAGAAUGUUUCAUUUACAUAUGGACAAUUAUAGUGGACAAAAUAAGAAAAGUGUUGUAAUAAGCUAUGGAAUGUGGCUCGUUAUGAUGGGUCUACAUGAUGACUUGGAGUACAACCUGAUUGAGGCCCGGCAUACAGAAUUCAGUCCUGAACAUGUUUAGAAUGUCUUCUGCAUGACCUGGUUAAGAUAGUAUUCUUGAAGGAUUAUAACUUCAACACAGAGACGGAGAUUAAUAUUUUUAGGCAGGGGGUUGGCAUGACAGGCAAAUUCACCAACCAUAUUACCAUUCCUGAGCUGGAUGCCAGUCGACAGUGGUACCUGUAUAAUGAAAUAGCGCCCCUUUGCAGCAACAGCAAUGUAUGCUCAAAACCAGCAGUGUCAAAGCCAUUAAAAUUGAUAAUUCAAGUCAUUUAAAACGAAGAAUGAAUUGAAAAAGUGUUUAACAUUUAAAGUAAUACAGACAAAGAGCUCUGAAAUUUUGAUUAAUUUGAAAGUGUUUUUGAUUUUUUGAAGAUGUACUAGACCCAAAUUCCAUAUAUUUGAAAAAGAACAAAUGAUACAUAUAGUUUACGUAAACAUUGAAUUAACAACUUUAUGGUGUCAACAGUACUAUGCAUUUGUUAAAUAUUGACUCACUAUAUACAUGUAAGGCUGAACACAGUAUAAAUGUGAAAUUCCUCUAAAAUACGGGAAGAUUUUUCAACAAUAAUUGUAACAUAUAUGGUAGUAAUGUUACUAAUGUACUUUUUCAUUACGACAGUUGGAUUAUAUAGAUCUACGAAUAUUUUCUGCUGUAUUCAAACUGCAUGUAAUCAUUUCUGUCGACAGUAUCAUGUUUAUUUUCCCUUUUCAUGAACAAUUAAUUUAACCUGUCUUGAAAGCACAAUAUAUGUAUAAUUUGUAAAACAUAAAUUGGGUUAUUGUGGAAACAAUUUAGUUUUUGUAUGCCUUAUUAUAUAUUAUUGCCGUUAGUAUUAUCUAACUCUUUUAAUAUGAUCAAGACAUUUAAUAAGGCAUUUUUCUUAAACUAUUACUGUGUGUUAAAUGAGAUUAUGUAGUAUUAUGUUUACGGAAUUAACUGCGUAACCAUGGAAACAUUUUUCUGUUGUUCUAUAUUAUGUCUUGAAAAAAACAUUGUUUGAAGAACACUUUUCAGUGGUGCAUUUUUUUUUAUUUUUACAUGUAAUGGUAAAUGCUGAAAGUGUUGUACAAUAACUUAGCAAAAACGUCAUUGUUGUCUCAUUGAAGCAUAUACUGCAACUCUAUUGUAACCAUAGCAACAGAAAUAUAUUGUAUUAUUUAUGAAUAAUGAUCUUCACAAACAAAUUACAUAUGUAUUUUUUCUUAAAGAAUGACCUAAAUUUGUUUUAUUCCAUAAAAAACAGACAUAGCAAAUAUUCUCAUUUUUAUCUCCGUUUCCAUGGCAACCAUAUAAUUUUUUGCCUCAAAUUAUAGGCUUUGCUUAGGGUUAUAUCUUAGCAUAUCUGAAUGUUAAUUAUACGUUCUGAUGUAAUUGUUAUAAGAGAUUUUCGUGUUUCCAUAAAGAAAAUCAAUCGGUUGCCAUGGCAACAGCACAAUUUCAAAUGAAUUAAAAUAUGAGAUUUUGCA